CAUAGUUCAAAGUCGCGGUAUCGGUCAUUGACUCGGGAGGUCCUGAGGCACAUCGGUAUCGGUAUCUCGGAUCGGUAUCGGAUGAUAUGCAAAAAAUUCUAAUUUAAGAGCUCAAAAUAAUUUUAAAAAAUUAUAAAAAUUAUUAAAAAAUUAAAUACAAAUAAGUAGAGUAAAAAAUUAAUAAAAUAAACUUUUAUUAUAUUAAAAUUAUUCAAAUUAUAAUAAAAACAUAUUUUUGGGAUGAUUUAUAAUAAUAUUAAAAAUCUUUAAAAAUAUUUUAAUUUAAACACUUGAUGAUAAAUAUUUUUUAUUGAAGAUGAAAAUAAUAAAAAGUAAAUUUUUUUAAUAAAAAAUUUGAUAUAAGUCUAUUAUUUAUUAUUUAUUUUUUAUCAUUAUAAUUUUUAUCAAAUUAUUUAAUACCCAUAUCCCCACCAAAUACUCAUAAUCUAAUUAAAAAAUAAAAACAUAUUAUUUAAAACCUAAAUCCUCAAUACCCAUAACCCUCGGUCAUCAAAGAUACCCAUUUCAUUGAGAGGGCGGCGUCAAUGGCUGAGCUCCUAGCGCGACUGGGUGAGUCGCAGGUGGUGCAGGCGAUUGGGGCGCGAGCGGGCACGAGGUCUGGGGCUGCGUCACGCCUGACGCCAGGCCGCUAACACCGCGAACGGGUUCGGCAAGGCCAAGCUGGGCCUGAAUGGUGGGCGACGGUGGCGGCAUUGCUGAACAUCGAUGAUAACAGCAGUCUGGCGACUCUGCUCUUGAUGUUGCUCAGUUCCAUCUCCGGCAGGAACUUGGG
rnacentral:lncRNA from 1 species